rfam:Brassica napus, WGS project CCCW01000000 data, contig: 33668
GGAAUAUAAGAACCCGUCUCUUAACUUUUAACUAAAAAAGUUAAGAACCAGCUCUUAAAACUCUUAUUUAAGAACCGGUUCUUAGCUUUUUUAGUUAAAAGUUAAGUGACGGGUUCUUAUAUUCC